UGGAAACCCAAAAUUGCACCCAAUGCAAACAUUGGAGAAAUUGGAAAGCUAUAGCUCCUUCGGGUUACCCUACAUGGGAUUACAUAGAUCCAAUUGAGCAAUUUCUUGAGAGGAAAAUGUUUAUAGACAACGAAUUUUAAGGUUAGGCUGUUGUUUUUUUUUUCAAAGGAAGGGGUGGCUAUUAAAGGGUAGCUGUGGCAUGAUUUUGUAAUGAGAAGUUGUAAACAAAUGUUAAUAUUUCAAAUGCAAAUUCAGAUUUAUUUUUCAUUCUACUCAAAGAUGGAGAAAAGUUUCGCAAGCUAAGUUACAAAAACUUGGCUCAAAACAUGUUCGUCAGAUAACACUGGAAGGAAUGGAGACUCACAUAAAAGAAUAAUGAAGCAGCUAUAUUAAUCAACGACGACAAUGAAAAGGAGAAAUCUUCAUUGACCAAUCAAAGAGAUGAGAUAAAGGAUUCAAGAGUAGGGUUUCAAAGUUCAAUUCUCAAUCGUAUUAGAGUUUCAUUGGCCGCAACAUAUUCAAAUUUAAUUUGUAAAGAUAAGAAAAAUUACAUUUUAAUGAUAACAGAUAAUGUUGAAUUUGAGGAAAAUGACAAUUCAAUACAUUU